rnacentral:lncRNA from 1 species
UUUUUAAUGUAAGAGCUACUCGUGCUGCAAAUGGAUUUCUUUAUUGGACGUUUUUCAGAUUGCUUCAUUCACCUUGAAAAGACAUUUAAAUGUCCAGGUGACCUCUCCUUUGGCAAGGUUUGGGCUUACAGUGGCCAGCUGAUUGGAGACAUCAACUGAUUGGAGACGUUGAUUAGAGGCAUCAAUGAAGAUGCAUAUGAGGAUAUUGCAGUUGGAGCCCCCCUUGAAGAUCAGCUUUCAAACAGUUCUUCUUUGGCAGCUUUUACGUCUUUAAUGGGGAUAAAGAGAAGAUCAGGAGCUGUUUUUCUCAAAAAGCAAAAGCCUCUGAAAUCUCUCCAGUAUUUUGGACAAUCCAUUGGUGGUGGCUUUGACUUCACUAAUGAUGGUCUCCAAGAUACUACAGUAGGAUCACUGGAGAACAGGAUUGUGCUUCGUGACUAACUUGAGAGCAGUUGUCCACGUUCUCACCAGCAACCCGGAGAGAAUCCCCAUUUUCCAAAAUAACAGAAUUGCUACAGCAAAACUACAUCUCGAUACAAUCUCAGCCUUACCAGUGUCUCAACAAGACAAUAAAAUGGAAAUUGUGAUCAAAUGGAAAUCUACAGUCCUAUGCUGUCCUCAGAAACUUGGCACUGAGCACACUUUCUGGUGCAUCUAAUGAAGGAUUUUGAAAAUCUUGCAGUGUUUUCGCAGUUGUACAUUCUCCACACGGUGGAUUUAGAUGUGAAAAUGGACAACAUUUAGCACUGAGCAUGUCCUUACAAGAAGGAAAACAAGACCAUCUGUGCUGCUCUUUUAACUUUGACAAGUCAGACCCAAGAGGAGCUAGUGGUGGGCACGCUACAGAAGUGACCGUGAAUGUUUCACUAACAAACACUGGAGAUCAAGACCACAGUUGUCAUGUACGAGUUAACUAUCCUAAAAACCUACUUUUUGAGAAGGUGACUGUUGAGGCAAAAUUUUCAGUGAUUUGGCAAUUAGAUGAAAGCACAAUGCAAAAUAAGCCUGUAAGCACCAUUAAUAUCACCAAGUGAGUAUAGCCAUUUUCACCACAAAAUACACUGUGAGCUAGGAAGGGAAUACCAGAAUCCCUACUCCAUGUCCAUACUGGACACAGAACUGUCACUGGGUGCAGCUACACUUGUCCUGUUCAACCUUUGAAAGCAUUUGGGUCCAUGUGAAAAAUCUUUCCUUCCCUUAUGAUAAUUUUAGCUUUGCUCAUACUUCAUUAUUUCAGUUAAAGGUAGAGCACCCUUGGACGUCCUAAUUUAAGUGUAUUUCAAAGCUUGCGUUUCUGAAAGGGCAAAGAGGGUUCUGACAUCCUUCUUCCUUAGCAGAGAGGACAGAUGAGUGAAAUACCUCAUCCAGCUCUGUUCCAAGUAAAGCUUUCCUACCAAAUGGUUGGGAUGAGACCAUAUUUUCAGGGCAUUUUUCCUGUUUAGGGGCUUUCUACA